rnacentral:rRNA from 1 species
UAGGGAAUCUUCCGCAAUGGACGCAAGUCUGACGGAGCAACGCCGCGUGAGUGAUGAAGGUUUUCGGAUCGUAAAGCUCUGUUGCCCUAGACGAAUGAGCCAGAGAGUAACUGCUCUGACUGUGACGGUAUAGGAGAAGAAAGCCCCGGCUAACUACGUGCCAGCAGCCGCGGUAAUACGUAGGGGGCAAGCGUUGUCCGGAAUUAUUGGGCGUAAAGCGCGCGCAGGCGGUUCAGUAAGUUGGAUGUUUAAUGCCGGGGCUCAACCCCGGUACGCAUCCAAAACUGGUGGACUUGAGUGUAGGAGAGGAAAGUGGAAUUCCACGUGUAGCGGUGAAAUGCGUAGAGAUGUGGAGGAACACCAGUGGCGAAGGCGACUUUCUGGCCUAUAACUGACGCUGAGGCGCGAAAGCGUGGGGAGCAAACA